rnacentral:misc_RNA from 1 species
AUGGCGGCUGCGCCCUCAGCCCUGCUCCCGCUGCCGCCCCUUCCAUCCCUCUGUGCCUAUCGCCUCCAGAGCCGCAGUCGUCCUUCCGCCCCAGAGACUGAUGAUAGUCGAGGUGGGGGCGCCAUGAGAGGCGAGAAAAACUAUUGCUGCCGUGGAGCUGCCGGAGAUCACGGUUCCUGCCCCCCGACACCUUCGCCUCUGGCCUCGACCCUCUUGAUGCCCGCGGAGGCAAUCUCAAGUAGUUGGUCUGGGCCUGGAGGUGGUUUGUCGGGGGGAGAUGAAGAGGAGACUCGGCUCCUUCAACAACUGCGGACCGCGCCCGAUCCUUCCGAGGCCUUCCAGGCUUUACAGGCUGCUUUGCCGCGGCGGGGCGGUCGACUUGGCUUCCCCCGACGAAAGGAAGCGCUUUAUCGGGCUCUGGGCCGAGUGCUUGUGGAAGGAGGUAGUGAUGAGAAACGACUCUGCUUGCAGUUCCUCUCGGACGUUCUCCGGGGUCAGGGGGAGUUAGGCCAGCUGGAAGAGGCCUUUAGCUUAGCUCUUCUGCCUCAGCUUGUCGUCUCGCUACGAGAAGAGAAUCCAGCCCUGCGGAAGGAUGCGCUGCAGAUCCUACACAUCUGUUUGAAGCGUAGCUCUGGACAGGUGCUGAGGACGCUUAUACAACAAGGACUGGAAAGUACCGAUGCCCGGCUUAGAGCUUCCACAGCACUACUGUUCCCUAUCUUGCUUACCCCUGAGGAUUUGUUGCUCGACCUAGAUCUUACCGAAGUGAUAAUAUCCUUAGCCCGAAAGCUUGGCGGUCAGGAGAUAGAAGAAGAAUCUGAGACAGCUUUCUCUGCACUUCAACAAAUAGGGGAGCGUCUUGGCCAAGAGCGAUUUCAGUCCUAUAUCUCUCGCCUGCCUUCUGCCUUGAGGAGACACUACAAUCGCCGCCUGGAGUCCCAGUUUGGAAGUCAGGUUCCUUAUUAUUUGGAACUUGAAGCAUCUGGAUUUCCUGAAGAUCCCCUUCCCUGUGCAGGGAGUCUUUCCAACAGCAAUCUUAAAUUUGGGAUUAUUCCUCAGGAGCUGCAUUCAAGGUUGUUAGAUCAGGAAGACUAUAAGAACCGGACUCAGGCUGUUGAGGAACUGAAACAGGUGAUGGGUCGCUUUAACCCAAGUUCCACCUCUCAUCCUAGCCUUGUGAGUUUCAUUAGUUUGCUGUAUAAUUUGUUAGACGAUUCUAACUUCAAAGUGGUCCAUGGCACACUUCAAGUCCUGCAUUUACUGGUUAUUCGCCUUGGAGAGCAGGUACAACAGUUCUUGGGACCUGUUAUAGCAGCUUCUGUCAAAGUGCUGGCAGACAACAAGUUGGUGAUCAAACAAGAGUACAUGAAAAUCUUCCUCAAGCUAAUGAAGGAAGUAGGUCCUCAACAGGUGCUUUGCUUGCUCCUGGAACAUCUCAAACAUAAGCAUUCCAGAGUGAGAGAGGAGGUGGUGAACAUUUGCAUCUGCUCCCUCCUGACUUAUCCCAGUGAGGAUUUUGACUUAUCCAAACUGUCUUUUGAUCUUGCCCCAGCUCUUGUAGAUAGCAAACGCAGGGUACGCCAGGCAGCUCUUGAAGCCUUUGCUGUGUUGGCAUCGUCAAUGGGCUCAGGUAAAACCAGCAUCCUUUUCAAAGCUGUGGAUACUGUGGAGCUGCAGGAUAAUGGAGAUGGAGUGAUGAAUGCUGUGCAGGCCAGAUUGGCUAGGAAAACCCUCCCAAAGUUAACAGAACAGGGAUUUGUGGAAUAUGCGGUACUCAUUCCAUCAUCUGCCCAGGGUAGAUCGAGCCAUUUGGCACAUGGAGCAGAUGCAGACUGGCUUUUGGCUGGUAACAGAACUCAGAGUGCACACUGUCACUGUGGUGACCACACAAGGGAUAGCAUGCAAACUUAUGGAUCUUAUAGUCCAACUAUCUGUACUCGAAGGGUACUAAGUGCAGGAAAAGGAAAAAAUAAAUUACCAUGGGAAAAUGAGCAGCCUGGAGUCACGGGCGAAAACCAUACUUCCAGUUCCAAGGACAUAGAACAGUUUUCAGCAUAUGAUUUCAUUCCAUCUCCAAAAUUAAAGCCAUCUCAAGGAAUGCCAGUCAACGAUGAUUUAUGUUUUAGCAGAAAAAGAGCGUCAAGAACCGUAUUUCAGAAUAGUCGGGAAUUUAACCCAGAUUCUCUUCCUAUAUGUUCUGCUGGCACUAGUGGGACUCAUCAGACAAAUCUCUCUGGGAAAUGUGGACAACUUGGAUUUUCACAGAUAUGUGGUAAAACUGGCAGUGUGGAUUCUGACUUACAAUACCUGGGGACAACUAACAGUCAUCAAGAUAAAGUUUGUGCUAGCCUAUGUUUUGGUAGUAAGACACAGCAGACAUUUGGUAGUCAAACAGAGCGUUCGUCAUACUCUGGUCCAAAUUCAAGUUCAGGAGCUGUUCUUCUUCCAUCCUAUCCUCUCUCGUCACCUCGAACUAGUCCAAAGCACACGUCUCUUACUGUGUCUCCAAAGAAGUCUCAAGAUAAUUCUGUUAAUUUCUCAAGUUCCUGGCCUCUUAAAAGCUUUGAAGGGCUUCCAAAGCCAAGUCCACAGAAAAAGCUUGUCAGCCAAAAAUCAUCUGAUCCUACAGGUAUAUAUGAUGGAGAAAAUUCUCAAGAGAAACCUCCUCAAGUUCAACUUACUCCUGCUUUGGUGAGAUCACCGUCUUCCCGACGAGGCUUAAAUGGGACCAGACCUGUACCUCCCAUACCACGGGGACUCAGCCUUCUGCCUGAUAAAGCUGGUCUAAGCACAGUGGGACCCAAAAAGAAAGAGCCUGAUGACAUUUGGAAGAGUGAAAAAGAUAAUCUUACAGUUGAUCUUUCAGAAUUAAAUAUCAGGGAUAAAGAUUUGGAUCAAGAAGAGAUGCAGAGCUCUCUUAGGUCCCUUCGUAAUAGCGCAGCUAAGAAAAGAGCAAAACUGAGUGGCAGUACUUCUGAUCUUGAAAGCCCAGAUUCCGCCAUGAAGCUUGACUUGACUGUGGAUUCCCCAUCUCGAUCUUCCUCUCCAAAUACCAGUUCCUACAGUGAAAGUGGAGUUUACAGCCAAGAAUCCUUGACUUCUUCUCUGUCGACAACUCCCCAGGGGAAGAGAAUAAUGUCAGACAUAUUUCCAACUUUUGGAUCAAAACCUUGUCCAACAAGACUUUCUUCAGCGAAGAAUAAGAACUCUCAGGUAGCUGAACACAGCCCCAGUACAGGGUCAUCAUCAAAUUUCCACCAAAUUUCCAGUUUUGACUUCAUGUCUACAAAUACCUUAUCAGAAGACUCAGUAGUAGUUGUUGGAAAAGGGGUAUUUGGAAAUCCAAUUCCAGCACCAGCAACCUGCAGUCAAUCAGUGAUAACUUCUGUGGAAAAUGGGGUUUCGUUUUCAGUUAAAAAUACUGAACCACCAUCAGGCAUUUAUGGAAGAGCAGUUCAGCAGAGUAUUCCAUCAUAUGUUGAUUCUGAGAAUGAAAAAGAUAUUAAAGUUUCUAUUUCAAAAUCUACUUAUGACAAGAUGAGACAAAAGAGAAAAGAGGAAAAAGAACUUUUUGACAUUAAAGAUUCUGAAAGGAAGGAACAGAAUCCCUGGGAACGAAUGAAAUAUACAGGAAAUGAAAAAAUGGCACCUCAAAAUGAAGCAUCUCCUGGAGCCAUUCCACAGUAUAAACAAAGGAUGCCCUCUGUCACUCAUAGUCCAGAAAUAAUGGAUUCAUCAGAACUACGGCCAUUUUCCAAACCCGAAGUAGCACUGACAGAAGCUCUGAGGCUUUUAGCUGAUGAGGAUUGGGAGAAGAAAAUUGAGGGACUGAACUUUAUUAGAUGUUUAGCUGCUUUUCAUUCUGAAAUACUGAACACAAAGUUGCAUGAAACAAAUUUUGCAGUAGUUCAAGAGGUAAAAAAUUUACGCUCUGGAGUUUCUCGUGCUGCUGUGGUCUGUUUAAGUGAUCUUUUUACUCACCUGAAAAAGAGCAUGGAUCAAGAACUAGAUAAUACCGUAAAAGUUUUAUUGCAGAAGUCAGGAGAAUCAAAUACAUUUAUAAGAGAAGAUGUUGACAAGGCAUUAAGAGCUAUGAUCACUAAUGUAACUCCCGCACGUGCGGUUGUUUCUCUUAUCAACGGAGGACAAAGGUAUUAUGGCCGAAAGAUGCUUUUCCUCAUGAUGUGUCAUCCUAACUUUGAUAAAAUGCUUGAAAAGUACGUGCCAUCUAAAGAUUUGCCAUAUAUUAAGGAAUCUGUUAAAAGCUUACGGCAAAAGGGUUUGGGAGAGAUACCGCUAGAUACUCCUUCAGCAAAAGGAAGACGAUCUCAUACCGGCAGUGUUGGAAACACAAGGUCGUCAUCUGUUUCUAGGGAUGCUUUCAAUUCAGCUGAAAGAGAGGUAACUGAAAUUCGUGAAAUCACCAGAAAAUCAGUUCCCCGAAAUUCCUUAGAAAGUGCUGAGUACAUUAAAGUCAUAACAGGUUUAUUAAAUGCAAAAGAUUUUCGUGAUCGUAUUAAUGGGAUUAAGCAGCUUUUAUCAGAUACAGAAAACAAUCAAGAGCUUGUUGUUGGAAACAUUGUGAAGAUCUUUGAUGCUUUUAAAUCUCGGCUUCAUGAUUCCAAUAGUAAAGUAAACCUGGUGGCUCUAGAAACAAUGCACAAAAUGAUUCCUUUGCUCAGAGACAACUUAUCUCCUAUAAUCAACAUGCUAAUCCCAGCAAUAGUAGAUAACAAUCUGAAUUCCAAGAAUCCAGGCAUCUAUGCUGCUGCCACCAAUGUUGUUCAGGCACUGAGUCAGCACGUAGAUAAUUACUUACUUCUACAGCCAUUUUGCACAAAAGCCCAGUUUUUAAAUGGAAAGGCAAAACAGGAUAUGACUGAAAAGCUUGCUGAUAUUGUUAUGGAACUUUAUCAAAGGAAGCCCCAUGCAACAGAACAGAAAGUGUUGGUUGUUUUAUGGCAUCUCUUAGGGAACAUGACAAAUAGUGGCUCUUUGCCUGGAGCUGGAGGAAAUAUACGAACAGCCACAGCUAAAUUAUCAAAAGCACUUUUUACACAGAUGGGUCAGAAUCUGUUAAAUCAGGCUGCAUCUCAACCAUCACAUAUAAAAAAGAGUUUAGAAGAAUUGCUUGAUAUGACAAUUUAAAAUGAAUUAUGAGUCUUUGAUGAAAUAUGAUGAACAAAACUGUUUACAUGAUGACAAAUGGAAGUUUGUUAAAGUGAGGUUUUCAGUGCCUGCGCUUCUCAUCCAGUAAUUAAGUCAAUAACUAUUUUUAUUUGCAGCCUGUGAGUACACAUGUGUCCUACAUCAACCCUAUCACUUGCACCCAUCACACAAAAAUCUAAAAUAAUAUAAUCUAAUGCUCAUGAAAUCUGAGGCAUGUGGAGUGAAUCCAAUUUUAAUAUUUUUGAGAAAAGUCCCGCUUAUUUGCACUAUUCUGUAGAAACUGCAAUUUGUUGCCCUAUAUGUACAAUUAGACUUUUAAUUAAAAAUAUACUUUUUGUUAUGUAAUCAUGUUUUGCUAUGUCUCAUUACUCAGCCUUGUUUAAUGAAGUGGAAGAAAAGUCAUUGAACUAUGUUAUCACAAACUAUGUUUUAUGUGCUAUUUGUGAAAAACAUGUAUUUCUGAAAUCAGUCUGCUAAUAUGAUUGUGCAGUAUUAGCUUGCUUUUGCUGCUGUGUUAAGUGAAAUAUUUGCUUACCAGUUGGGUUUAAUCAUCUACAUAAUUGUGAAAUUUUACAAGUUAUAAUAAAGCAUGAUGACCAAAGUUUUAGAAAACAUUUAAACAUUAAAUGCACGUUUAAGAAAACGUGUUGAAUGUAACUUCCCUAUUUUUGUGUGCAAACACUAAAUUUUAUUUCUAUAUGUCCUGACAUUUAUAAAGGUGUUAUUUUGCUGCCCAGUUGUAUAAUUCUCAAGUAUAGUGCCAGGUCUUCUCUAGCUUUUCUCAGAAUUCUUGGGCUACAAGUACUGUAUGCAUCUUAAAAAAGAAAAGGAAUGUUAUAUAAUAAAAGGAUUUAUUUCUGU